AUAGAUUCGUGUUAUAGCCUUACU
rnacentral:siRNA from 1 species